rnacentral:rRNA from 1 species
UGGGGAAUUUUGGACAAUGGGCGAAAGCCUGAUCCAGCAAUGCCGCGUGUGUGAAGAAGGCCUUCGGGUUGUAAAGCACUUUUGUCCGGAAAGAAAUCCUUGGUUCUAAUAUAGCCGGGGGAUGACGGUACCGGAAGAAUAAGCACCGGCUAACUACGUGCCAGCAGCCGCGGUAAUACGUAGGGUGCGAGCGUUAAUCGGAAUUACUGGGCGUAAAGCGUGCGCAGGCGGUUUGCUAAGACCGAUGUGAAAUCCCCGGGCUCAACCUGGGAACUGCAUUGGUGACUGGCAGGCUAGAGUAUGGCAGAGGGGGGUAGAAUUCCACGUGUAGCAGUGAAAUGCGGUAGAGAUGUGGAGGAAUACCGAUGGCGAAGGCAG